GUUGAACGCUGGCGGCGUGCCUAACACAUGCAAGUCGAGCGGAUGAACGAGGCUUGCUCUCGGUUGCAGCUACCGACGGGCGAGUAAGUCCUAGGUGUCUCCCCGGCAGCUUGGGAUAACGUGCGGAAAGGGGCCCUCAUACAGUAUACGUCCAUAUGUAGAACGGGAUGGAUCUUCGGAUCUUACGCUCUUUGAUGAUCCUAGUUCGGAUUAGCUAGUUGGUGAGGUAAAGGCGUACCAAGGCGACGAUCCGUAACUGGUCUGAGAGGAUGAUCAGACACACUGGAACUGAGACACGGUCCAGACUCCUACGGGAGGCAGCAGUAGGGAAUAUUGGACAAUGGGCGAAAGCCUGAUCCAGCCAUGCCGCGUGAGUGAAGAAGGUCUUCGGAUUGUAAAGCUCUGUUAGUGGGAAAGAACAGAAGUAUGUUAAUACCUUGCUGUUUUGACGUUACCAAAAGAAUAAGCCCCGGCUAACUUCGUG
rnacentral:rRNA from 1 species